GAGUUUGAUCAUGGCUCAGGAUGAACGCUAGCGGCAGGCUUAAUACAUACAAGUCGUGGGGUAGAGUGGCUUCGGCUGCUUGAGACCGGCAAACGGGUGCGGAACACGUACACAACCUACCUUUUAGUGGAGCAUAGCCCAGGGAAACUUGGAUUAAUACUCCGUAACAUGUUGAAAAGGCAUCUUUUUAAUAUUAUAGCAGCAAUGCGCUAAAUGACGGGUGUGCGCAUGAUUAGGUAGUUGGCGGGGUAACGGCCCACCAAGCCUGCGAUCAUUAACUGGUGUGAGAGCACGACCAGUCACACGGGCACUGAGACACGGGCCCGACUCCUACGGGAGGCAGCAGUAAGGAAUAUUGGUCAAUGGAGGAAACUCUGAACCAGCCAUGCCGCGUGGAGGAUGAAGGUCCUCUGGAUUGUAAACUUCUUUUAUUUGGGACGAAAAAAGGGAAUUCUUUCCCGACUGACGGUACCAGAUGAAUAAGCACCGGCUAACUCCGUGCCAGCAGCCGCGGUAAUACGGAGGGUGCAAGCGUUAUCCGGAUUUACUGGGUUUAAAGGGUGCGUANGUGGAUUGGUAAGUCAGUGGUGAAAUCUCCNGGCUUAA
rnacentral:rRNA from 1 species